CCUCGAUGGACUGUCACCUUGUCGUGGUGAGGGGGCUUGCGUGUUCCGAUGAACCUGUAGGCACAACAACUGGAGUCGUGCACUCCCAGGAGUGGCCGCGGGGGAGGUUCCAGACCAAGCACAGUCCGAAGACCCAAAGACCUCAACGGCGGAGCAGGCGGAGGAUAACAUGGCACAUGUUACAACGGCUGCGAAGGCGGAAGAAGGCUGCAACAGACUGAGAAGCCACGGUCAUUGUGUUAAACUACAUCACCAGUGGAACCUCACUCUGUGAAGUCUGUGUGUCGAUCAGUUGUGCACUGACCUCCACACAUUAAAAAAACCCACGCACAGGCGUCUUCCAAAGAAAAUAAAAACAAACCAACCAAAGCCCCAUGGCGAUCAGCGAGUGGUGACGGGGGCAGGACUGUGAAAUCUGGAAGCCCCUAGUCACAGACUGGCACAUGGGCGGUGGGUACGGACUCAGUCGUUCUACCUCAAGGUCCGAGGCAGUUGAGUAGUUCGGCAGCUGUAUCCGCGACUGAGCAGCCCUUUUUAGGACCCACUCUGCUCACCCCACACGGGGAGGGGGCUAGAAAAGGUGCCCUAAACAUAGUCUGCCUCACUUAUCCCUGACUGGACUGCCGUGUCCAGUGGGGUCACCACCCUGCGGCCAAAAAAGAAAAA